GGCCUGAUGGUCUAGUAGUAUGAUUCUCGCUUUGGGUUAAUAAAUUAAUGCGAGAGGUCCUGGGUUCAAUUCCCAGUCAGGCCC
rfam:Moniliophthora roreri MCA 2997 sctg_0254_0001, whole genome shotgun sequence.